ACCAGGAUAAAGCGUGAAGCGUUAUUUGACCGCUUAAGGCACUCCAGUACUCGAACACGCGUCUUACUCAGCCGACUUGGCACCCUGCAACUUUUACUUGUUUCCGAAGUUAAAGUCUGCCUUAAAAGGAAUCCGGUUUGAGUCGAUGGAAGAGGUGAAACAAAAAUCGGCGGAACUCCAGAAUGGUCUUACGAAAACAGACUUCCAGCACUGCCUCGAGCAAUGGAAGAAACGAAUGAAACGGUGUGUGGUGAGGGGAAGGGAGUAUAUUGAAGG